rnacentral:rRNA from 1 species
GAUGAACGCUGGCGGCGUGCCUAAUACAUGCAAGUCGAGCGAACAGACGAGGAGCUUGCUCCUCUGACGUUAGCGGCGGACGGGUGAGUAACACGUGGAUAACCUACCUAUAAGACUGGGAUAACUUCGGGAAACCGGAGCUAAUACCGGAUAAUAUAUUGAACCGCAUGGUUCAAUAGUGAAAGACGGUUUUGCUGUCACUUAUAGAUGGAUCCGCGCCGCAUUAGCUAGUUGGUAAGGUAACGGCUUACCAAGGCAACGAUGCGUAGCCGACCUGAGAGGGUGAUCGGCCACACUGGAACUGAGACACGGUCCAGACUCCGACGGGAGGCAGCAGUAGGGAAUCUUCCGCAAUGGGCGAAAGCCUGACGGAGCAACGCCGCGUGAGUGAUGAAGGUCUUCGGAUCGUAAAACUCUGUUAUGAGGGAAGAACAAAUGUGUAAGUAACUAUGCACGUCUUGACGGUACCUAAUCAGAAAGCCACGGCUAACUACGU